UACGAAGGGGGCUAGCGUUGUUCGGAAUUACUGGGCGUAAAGGGCGCGUAGGCGGCUCUGUAAGUCAGGAGUGAAAUCCCUGGGCUCAACCCAGGAAUUGCUUUUGAGACUACAUGGCUUGAGUACAGGAGAGGUAAGUGGAAUUCCCAGUGUAGAGGUAAAAUUCGUAGAUAUUGGGAGGAACACCAGUGGCGAAGGCGGCUCACUGGCCUGUAACUGACACUGAGGCGCGAAAGCGUGGGGAGCAAACAGG
rnacentral:rRNA from 1 species